UCUCCGUUGGUGAACCCGCGGAGGGAUCAUUACCAAGUUUACAACUCCCCAACCCCUGUGAACCUACCAUUUGUUGCCUCGGCGGUGCCUGCUUCGGCAGCCCGCCAGAGGACCCAAACCCUUGAUUUUAUACAGAAUCUUCUGACUAAAUGAUUAAAUAAAUCAAAACUUUCAACAACGGAUCUCUUGAUUCUG
rnacentral:misc_RNA from 1 species